rnacentral:lncRNA from 1 species
GGAUCAAUGGGGAUAAAUGGGGUUUAAUGGGGAUCAAUGGGGAUAAUGGGGGUUAAUGGGGAUCAAUGGGGGACGGGGGAGGGUCCAUGUAUGUGCAUUGCUGUCCAAUUUUAAUUAAUUAAUUUACAAAUUAAUUACAAUCAUUAAAAUAUAUAUGUUUUGUAUACAUAUAUAUAUAUAUAUAUAUGAUUAUUUGCUAUAAAAUAAUGGAGUCCCUACAAGAAUCCCAAUGACCCCAACCCUAAUGAUGGGGUCUCCAUUAGGAUCUCAAUGUCCCCAUCCCAACACUGGGACCCCCACCCCAACACCGGUAUCUCAACCCCAAUGUUGGGGUCCCCAUUGGGAUCUCAAUGUCCCCAUCCCAAUACUGGGGUCCCCAACCCCAUACUGAGGUCUCCAUCCCAACAUUGGGGUCUCCAUCCCAACAUGGUGAUUCCCACCCCAAUAAUGGGGUCCCUAUUGGGAUCUCAAUGCCCCUGUACGAACAUAGCGAUCCUGACCCCAAUGUUGGGGUCCCCAUUGGGAUCUCAGCCCUCCCAUCCCCAUAUUGGGGUCCCCAUCCCAAUGUUGGGGUCCCUAUUGGGAUCUGAACGUCCCCAUCCCAAUACCGAGGUCUCCAUCCCAACAUGGUGAUCCUGACCCCAAUACUGGGGUCCCCAUUGGGAUCUCAACCCUCCCAUCCCCAUAUUGGGGUCCCCAUAGGACCUCAAUGUCCCCAUCCCAAUACCAAGGUCUCCAUCCCAACAUGGUGAUCCUGACCCCAAUACUGGGGUCCCCAUUGGGAUCUCAACCCUCCCACCCCCAUAUUGGGGUCCCCAUCCCAAUGAUGGGGUCCCCAUCCCAAUCCCAAGGUCUCCAUCCUAAUGUGGUGAUUCCCACCCCAAUGAUGGGGUCCCCAUUGGGAUCUCAAUGUCCCCAUCCCAAUACUGGGGUCCCCAUCCCAAUCCCAAGGUCUCCAUCCCAACAUGGCAACUCCCACCCCAAUACUGGGCUGCCCAUUGGGAUCUAUUACCCCCACCCCAAUAUCAGUCCCCCCACCGCCCCACAGACCCCGGGAGGGCCCCAUCCUCACUAUGGGGUUGGGCUGACGCCUCCAUUCUCACUCUCUGCCCCCCAGGAAAUCCCAUAAGAGUCCAUUGACGACAUCGGGGUGAUCCUCGGGCAGCCAAUGCCCCGCGUGGGGGAUGAUGUGGAGCUGGGCACUGGGGGCCAUACGAUGUUGUAGGUAUGGGGCCAGCCGGGGGUCCAGGAAGGGGUCACAGCCACCCCAUAGGAUCAGCACCGGGCAUGGGGGGCGCUCACGGGGCACCGGGGAGUCACUGUGGGGAUGGGGGGGAUCCCAUAUAGGAACAUCCCAAUGGGAGCAUCCCAUAUAGGGACAUCCCAAUGGGAAUAUCCCACUAAUUGAGGACCAUCCAUCUA